GUGCUCUUGGUGUAACGGUAACACAACUCACUGCUCUUUCGGGUGUCGAGUGGUCCUGGGUUCGACUCCCGGGGGGCGCC